ensembl:lncRNA
CUCAUAGUGCUGAAGUAGGCUGAAUUUGUAGAGCUCAUUUCUCCUGAGUUUAACCAGAGAAAAAUUUGGACAAACACUGGGUUUGUCUUUCUGUUCAAUUUCACCGCUUGAGUAAUCUGAGGGUCUGUGAGGGUGCCGCCUUAACCCCCAACUGUACCACGGUGCUCCAACUUUGUACAAAGACUAUUUGCCAGUCAGCUUUAGAGUUGGCCGCUGCUGAAGCAUCCAUCCAGCUGAGAUGUCGGUUACAGGGACCAUGGAAACGUUUGUAUUUGUGAUCUUUGUGACAAAUGGACAUUGGAGGAACCUAGAUUACACUCUGGAUCCCCUAGUCUUCUCUUCACUAGCAGAGCCUUCCAGAAGGCCAGAAGACCAGCCCUAAUAUGCCACAAUCACCAAGAUAUCCAACUCUUUGGCAACCCCAUGGACUGCAGCAUGCCAGGCUUCCCUGUCCAUCACCAUCUCCA